GUGAACGCUGGCGGUCGGCCUAACCCAUGCAAGUCGAACGGCAGCACCGUAAGAGCUUGCUCUUACGGGUGGCGAGUGGCGGACGGGUGAGGAAUACAUCGGAAUCUACUUUUUCGUGGGGGAUAACGUAGGGAAACUUACGCUAAUACCGCAUACGACCUACGGGUGAAAGCAGGGGAUCUUCGGACCUUGCGCGAUUGAAUGAGCCGAUGUCGGAUUAGCUAGUUGGCGGGGUAAAGGCCCACCAAGGCGACGAUCCGUAGCUGGUCUGAGAGGAUGAUCAGCCACACUGGAACUGAGACACGGUCCAGACUCCUACGGGAGGCAGCAGUGGGGAAUAUUGGACAAUGGGCGCAAGCCUGAUCCAGCCAUACCGCGUGGGUGAAGAAGGCCUUCGGGUUGUAAAGCCCUUUUGUUGGGAAAGAAAAGCAGCAGGUUAAUACCCCGCUGUUCUGACGGUACCCAAAGAAUAAGCACCGGCUAACUUCGUG
rnacentral:rRNA from 1 species